rnacentral:SRP_RNA from 1 species
GCCAGGUGUGGUGGUGCAUGCCUGUAAUCCCAGCUACUCCGGAGGCUGAGGCAGGAGAAUUGCUUGAACCCAGGAGGCGGAGGUUGCAGUGAGCCGAGAUCACACCACUGCACUCCAGCCUGGGUGACAGAGCAAGAUUCUGUCUCAA